rnacentral:rRNA from 1 species
UCAAGUGAAGAAGCGCAUACGGUGGAUGCCUUGGCAGUCAGAGGCGAUGAAAGACGUGGUAGCCUGCGAAAAGCUUCGGGGAGUCGGCAAACAGACUGUGAUCCGGAGAUGUCUGAAUGGGGGAACCCAGCCAUCACAAGAUGGUUAUCUUACGCUGAAUACAUAGGUGUAAGAGGCGAACCAGGGGAACUGAAACAUCUAAGUACCCUGAGGAAAAGAAAUCAACCGAGAUUCCCUUAGUAGUGGCGAGCGAACGGGGACCAGCCCUUAAGUUGUAUUGAGAUUAGCGGAACGCUCUGGAAAGUGCGGCCAUAGUGGGUGAUAGCCCUGUACGCGAAAAUCCCUUUGCAAUGAAAUCGAGUAGGACGGGGCACGAGAAACCUUGUCUGAAUAUGGGGGGACCAUCCUCCAAGGCUAAAUACUACUGACUGACCGAUAGUGAACCAGUACCGUGAGGGAAAGGCGAAAAGAACCGCGGAGAGCGGAGUGAAAUAGAUCCUGAAACCGUAUGCGUACAAGCAGUGGGAGCCCACUUUGUUGGGUGACUGCGUACCUUUUGUAUAAUGGGUCAGCGACUUAUUUUCAGUGGCGAGCUUAACCGAAUAGGGGAGGCGUAGCGAAAGCGAGUCUUAAUAGGGCGUCUAGUCGCUGGGAAUAGACCCGAAACCGGGCGAUCUAUCCAUGGGCAGGUUGAAGGUUGGGUAACACUAACUGGAGGACCGAACCGACUACCGUUGAAAAGUUAGCGGAUGACCUGUGGAUCGGAGUGAAAGGCUAAUCAAGCUCGGAGAUAGCUGGUUCUCCUCGAAAGCUAUUUAGGUAGCGCCUCAUGUAUCACUGUAGGGGGUAGAGCACUGUUUCGGCUAGGGGGUCAUCCCGACUUACCAAACCGAUGCAAACUCCGAAUACCUACAAGUGCCGAGCAUGGGAGACACACGGCGGGUGCUAACGUCCGUCGUGAAAAGGGAAACAACCCAGACCGUCAGCUAAGGUCCCAAAGUCAUGGUUAAGUGGGAAACGAUGUGGGAAGGCUUAGACAGCUAGGAGGUUGGCUUAGAAGCAGCCACCCUUUAAAGAAAGCGUAAUAGCUCACUAGUCGAGUCGGCCUGCGCGGAAGAUGUAACGGGGCUCAAACCAUGCACCGAAGCUACGGGUAUCACCUUUGGUGAUGCGGUAGAGGAGCGUUCUGUAAGCCUGUGAAGGUGAGUUGAGAAGCUUGCUGGAGGUAUCAGAAGUGCGAAUGCUGACAUGAGUAACGACAAUGGGUGUGAAAAACACCCACGCCGAAAGACCAAGGUUUCCUGCGCAACGUUAAUCGACGCAGGGUUAGUCGGUCCCUAAGGCGAGGCUGAAAAGCGUAGUCGAUGGAAAACAGGUUAAUAUUCCUGUACUUCUGGUUAUUGCGAUGGAGGGACGGAGAAGGCUAGGCCAGCCUGGCGUUGGUAGUCCAGGUUUAAGGUGGUAGGCUGAGAUCUUAGGUAAAUCCGGGAUCUUAAGGCCGAGAGCUGAUGACGAGUGUUCUUUUAGAACAUGAAGUGGUUGAUGCCAUGCUUCCAAGAAAAGCUUCUAAGCUUCAGGUAACCAGGAACCGUACCCCAAACCGACACAGGUGGUUGGGUAGAGAAUACCAAGGCGCUUGAGAGAACUCGGGUGAAGGAACUAGGCAAAAUGGCACCGUAACUUCGGGAGAAGGUGCGCCGGUGAGGGUGAAGCAUUUACUGCGUAAGCCCACGCCGGUCGAAGAUACCAGGCCGCUGCGACUGUUUAUUAAAAACACAGCACUCUGCAAACACGAAAGUGGACGUAUAGGGUGUGACGCCUGCCCGGUGCCGGAAGGUUAAUUGAUGGGGUUAGCGCAAGCGAAGCUCUUGAUCGAAGCCCCGGUAAACGGCGGCCGUAACUAUAACGGUCCUAAGGUAGCGAAAUUCCUUGUCGGGUAAGUUCCGACCUGCACGAAUGGCGUAACGAUGGCGGCGCUGUCUCCACCCGAGACUCAGUGAAAUUGAAAUCGCUGUGAAGAUGCAGUGUAUCCGCGGCUAGACGGAAAGACCCCGUGAACCUUUACUAUAGCUUUGCACUGGACUUUGAAUUUGCUUGUGUAGGAUAGGUGGGAGGCUUUGAAGCGUGGACGCCAGUCUGCGUGGAGCCAACCUUGAAAUACCACCCUGGCAACUUUGAGGUUCUAACUCAGGUCCGUUAUCCGGAUCGAGGACAGUGUAUGGUGGGUAGUUUGACUGGGGCGGUCUCCUCCUAAAGAGUAACGGAGGAGUACGAAGGUGCGCUCAGACCGGUCGGAAAUCGGUCGUAGAGUAUAAAGGCAAAAGCGCGCUUGACUGCGAGACAGACACGUCGAGCAGGUACGAAAGUAGGUCUUAGUGAUCCGGUGGUUCUGUAUGGAAGGGCCAUCGCUCAACGGAUAAAAGGUACUCCGGGGAUAACAGGCUGAUACCGCCCAAGAGUUCAUAUCGACGGCGGUGUUUGGCACCUCGAUGUCGGCUCAUCACAUCCUGGGGCUGAAGCCGGUCCCAAGGGUAUGGCUGUUCGCCAUUUAAAGUGGUACGCGAGCUGGGUUUAGAACGUCGUGAGACAGUUCGGUCCCUAUCUGCCGUGGACGUUUGAGAUUUGAGAGGGGCUGCUCCUAGUACGAGAGGACCGGAGUGGACGAACCUCUGGUGUUCCGGUUGUCACGCCAGUGGCAUUGCCGGGUAGCUAUGUUCGGAAAAGAUAACCGCUGAAAGCAUCUAAGCGGGAAACUUGCCUCAAGAUGAGAUCUCACUGGAACCUAGAGUUCCCUGAAGGGCCGUCGAAGACUACGACGUUGAUAGGUUGGGUGUGUAAGCGCUGUGAGGCGUUGAGCUAACCAAUACUAAUUGCCCGUGAGGCUUGACCAU